CACGUAGGGGGCGAGCGUUGUCCGGAUUUAUUGGGCGUAAAGAGCUCGUAGGUGGUUCAGUAAGUCGAGUGUGAAACCUCCAGGCUCAACCUGGAGACGCCACCCGAUACUGCUGUGACUAGAGUCCAGUAGGGGAGCACGGAAUUCCUGGUGUAGCGGUGAAAUGCGUAGAGAUCGGGAGGAACAUCAGUGGCGAAGGCGGCCAUCUGGGACAACACUGACGCUGAAGCACGAAAGCGUGGGGAGCAAACAGG
rnacentral:rRNA from 1 species